rnacentral:rRNA from 1 species
GAAUUCCUACGGGAGGCAGCAGUGGGGGAUAUUGCACAAUGGGGGGAACCCUGAUGCAGCGACGCCGCAUGGGUGAAGAAGCGGCUCGGCGCGUAAAUCCCUGUCAGCAGGGAAGAAAAUGACGGUACCUGAAGAAGAAGCCCCGGCUAACUACGUGCCAGCGGCCGCGGUAAUACGUAGGGGGCAAGCGUUAUCCGGAUUUACUGGGUGUAAAGGGGGCGCAGACGGCGAUGCAAGCCAGGAGUGAAAGCCCGGGGCCCAACCCCGGGACUGCUCUUGGAACUGCGUGGCUGGAGUGCAGGAGG